rnacentral:rRNA from 1 species
AGUGAACGCUGGCGGUAGGCCUAACACAUGCAAGUCGAACGGCAGCACAGUAAGAGCUUGCUCUUACGGGUGGCGAGUGGCGGACGGGUGAGGAAUACAUCGGAAUCUACUUUUUCGUGGGGGAUAACGUAGGGAAACUUACGCUAAUACCGCAUACGACCUACGGGUGAAAGCAGGGGAUCUUCGGACCUUGCGCGAUUGAAUGAGCCGAUGUCGGAUUAGCUAGUUGGCGGGGUAAAGGCCCACCAAGGCGACGAUCCGUAGCUGGUCUGAGAGGAUGAUCAGCCACACUGGACCUGAGACACGGCCCAGACUCCUACGGGAGGCAGCAGUGGGGAAUAUUGGACAAUGGGCGCAAGCCUGAUCCAGCCAUACCGCGUGGGUGAAGAAGGCCUUCGGGUUGUAAAGCCCUUUUGUUGGGAAAGAAAAGAAGCAGGUUAAUACCCCGCUGUUCUGACGGUACCAAAAGAAGAAGCACCGGCUAACUUCGU